CGAAGAGCCAUUCGGCUUCGAAAGUCGUCCAGUGAACUCGAUCGAUGCUUUUGGCUACCUGCAGGCCAUGUUCGCCUUCCUGCUACGAAAAAUGCAAGCACAAGAUGGCCAAUAAGACGGUUGUGACGUUUUUUAGGGCAGGACAGGAGGUGUCUGAGCAGGAACUAUGAGACGCUUCCCUUUGUCGUAAGGACGUGCUGUAGUGGACAGUCCUCUCCUAGAACUCACAAGGAAAGACAAUAUUUGGAUUGUUCGUGGAUAGUAGCGAUGAGUUUCCCACGUCGUCGCACUUGACGUCUUGUGUUGAUGGAAGAGCUUCAGGAUCUACUACUGUGUGAAAUAAAGCGUAUUGCGGUGCUGAAAUCAUACGAUACGGACCCGUAUUCUUCGAGAAUACGGACAUACCCGGACGUACCGUGUUCCAAGACACGCGACGUGUCCACCGAGUGUCAGGAACUUUAUUCGUUCCGAUUCGGACUUAACCCGUGGUAUGGAAAAUCCGAUGUCAGGAUACCUCAUUGAAACGCGGCGUGUGGAGACCCGGAAAUUUCCUUAUACUUUCAGAUUUGCCGCAAAUAAUGGCGUACCGUAUACGAGCGCGCGGUCAGUAAAAUUGCGUCUUUUUUUCGUGUCUUUCUUAAAAAUUGUCUUUUCCACUUUGAGAACAGUUUCACUGGGUAUUCUUGUCCCGAAAUUCCACGGUACUAGACGAAUCGAUCUGCACUCUGGAACCCGAUUUUCCUCAUUUUUUCCCACGAUACGACGAGAAUCGCGUAGUAUUCAAGAACCCGAAAUUCCACGGUACUAGACAAAUUGGUCUGUAUUCUAGAUUUUGAUAUUCCACGGUACGAGAAAUUUCACUCGGAAUUCUUGAUCCACACAUACUAUCAGGUUUUCUUGGAAAAGCAACGAAUUCUCCCGAUAAUUUUGCACCCUCUUACUAGUGUGUUCUUUCACAGAAGUACCUUGUGCCUUGAUUACCUUGGAUUCCCCUUCCCUACCAACGAUUUAUAAACACAUAUUUCACA